rnacentral:rRNA from 1 species
UACGUAGGGGGCAAGCGUUGUCCGGAUUUAUUGGGCGUAAAGAGCGUGUAGGCGGCCAAGCAGGUCAGCUGUGAAAACUCGAGGCUCAACCUCGAGACGUCGGUUGAAACCGCUUGGCUAGAGUCCGGAAGAGGAGAGUGGAAUUCCCGGUGUAGCGGUGAAAUGCGCAGAUAUCAGGAGGAACACCGGUGGCGAAGGCGGGUCUCUGGGCCGUAACUGACGCUGAGGAGCGAAAGCAUGGGUAGCGAACAGG